rnacentral:rRNA from 1 species
UACGUAGGGUCCGAGCGUUGUCCGGAAUUAUUGGGCGUAAAGAGCUCGUAGGCGGUUUGUCGCGUCUGCUGUGAAAUCCCGAGGCUCAACCUCGGGCCUGCAGUGGGUACGGGCAGACUGGAGUGCGGUAGGGGAGAAUGGAAUUCCUGGUGUAGCGGUGGAAUGCGCAGAUAUCAGGAGGAACACCGGUGGCGAAGGCGGGUCUCUGGGCCGAUACUGACGCUGAGGAGCGAAAGCAUGGGUAGCGAACAGG